rnacentral:rRNA from 1 species
CCUACGGGGGGCAGCAGUGGGGAAUAUUGCACAAUGGGCGCAAGCCUGAUGCAGCCAUGCCGCGUGUAUGAAGAAGGCCUUCGGGUUGUAAAGUACUUUCAGCGAGGAGGAAGGCGAUAAGGUUAAUAACCUUGUCGAUUGACAUUACUCGCAGAAGAAGCACCGGCUAACUCCGUGCCAGCAGCCGCGGUAAUACGGAGGGUGCAAGCGUUAAUCGGAAUUACUGGGCGUAAAGCGCACGCGGGCGGUCUGUCAAGUUGGAUGUGAAAUCCCCGGGCUCAACCUGGGAACUGCAUUCGAAACUGGCAGUCUAGAGUCUUGUAGAGGGGGUAGAAUUCCAGGUGUAGCGGUGAAAUGCGUAGAGAUCUGGAGGAAUACCGGUGGCGAAGGCGGCCCCCUGGACAAAGACUGACGCUCAGGUGCGAAAGCGUGGGGAGCAAACAGGAUUAGAUACCCGAGUAGUC